CACGGGGGGAGCAAGCGUUGUUCGGAAUCACUGGGCGUAAAGGGCGUGUAGGCGGUCAAGUAAGUGGAAUGUGAAAGCCCCCGGCUUACCCGGGAUCUGCAUCCCAAACUGCUUGGCUUGAGUACGGGAGAGGAUAGGGGAAUUCCUGGUGUAGCGGUGAAAUGCGUAGAUAUCAGGAGGAACACCGGUGGCGAAGGCGCCUAU
rnacentral:rRNA from 1 species